UUAGAAGGGGAGCUCUUGGCCUACCUGUGAUGCAAGAUCAGCAAGGCAAUCAGGUCCUCUUCGGAUUCCAGUGUCAUGCAUCAAACCACACCAUGGUGUGGCUAGGACCCAACCUGGUACCAGAAAUGAAGGAAAUAACCCUGCAGGACCCACAGCCCCAGACGAUGCAGCUUCCUUGGACAACACAGGAUGCAAAGCUGGAAAACAAGAUGUAACCACUACGCCUGACAAACCUGUUGCUGCACCCAUCUGUACUCGUCAAUCAACAAAACCUGAUGCAAAAACAGAAAAGUGGGAGAUGUAGGAGAUCAAUCAGGGUGAUGGGAGAAGGUAUAAGGAAAGACGCAAACCUUGAAAGGUUGGAAGGUCUUGCAAAAGCUUCAGGAGAGAAUAAAGCUGAAGGCAGCUAAUUCUCUUACCCUGAGGCUAAGGGCAAGGACUAGGUAACAAGGCAGUGUAAAGAAAUCUAUCUAGAUAAGUUUAUUUACUUAUGUCAUCCAGAGAACAACCUUUGAUCAUCUGCAUGCAAGACUGCUCCCUGCAAGGGGGUAUGACAAUGCUAAUUACCCACAGAUUGUGUUGGCUCCAGGCCUUUGACACUAUACCAGUACUGAAUAAAUACAAGCGGCCCCAGCUUACUGGGGCUGCUAACCCUCUUCAGCCCCUAGUGCUGGCAGUCCCCUAGCCUGCUCUUUCACUGGAUACUUGUGUCUGAGUACUCCUUUCUUCUGUCAGUCGGCCAGGGUCUGCGGGAUGGACCUGACAAUAGAGUGGAGGAAGUAAGAUGUUGUAACUCUGAUAGUUACAAUGCUUUUCCUCUAUGUUUCUGAGAUAAGAAUGUUAAUAUGAGGUUAAUAUAAGAUUAACCAAAGCUCUUCCUACAGAAGUGUCUAAGGAGGCCGUAACUACUUAAAGGUCAAUGUCAUUGUUCUAAACCAUAAAGUCAGCAAUAGCCUUUGUAACCACAGCUAUCCCAGAGGUAAGAAUUACCAACCCAGAAUAGAAUCCACUGGCUUCCAAUCAGUAUUCCCCUUUCUGAGAGGCAUCAUAACUGCUUGACCACAGGGAACACAAAUACCUCAGGGAGAGCAUUUGGUUGGCAGGUAAGUUUUAAUAAUUAUCUUAAGUUUUAUAAUUUUUAGUUCCUCUUAAUGAACCAAGGAGUGAUCUGAAGGAAACUUGUGACCUGAAAUCAGUUUGUGCUUCAUCUGUUGGUGACCAAAAAAGGAAAUCUUAAUCAUCCUUUGAAAGUAAAAUUGAUAAUCCUUGAAUAUUUCUGUAGAAUAUUUCACUCUUUGUAAAUUAUGGUAGGCCAAUCAAAUGUGUGAGAAAGAAGGGAGAUUCUCCAGAUGCAAGAAGAGAGAUCAUCCAGCUUAGGACAAAUGAAAGUAGCCAAAAGUAGGCAGGAAAGGGAAGGGAAGGUUGCUGUUCAAGGAGGGAGAUGAGGUGAGGUGGUAGUUGGG